rnacentral:lncRNA from 1 species
GUGCGCAGGAUAGGAUAGAGAUAGAAUAUGAUAAGAAGCUGGAUAAGGAAAUGAUAGGAUAGUGACAGGAUAAACAUAUAUCAUGUCAUGUGUUUGGAGCACACCGGAUAAAAAAUAGGAUAGCAUUAUAUUAUCUUAUCAUGUGUUUGGUGCAACUUAAUAUUGACAAUAAAAUAUCUAUUAUAUAUUUAAAUACCCAAAU